rnacentral:rRNA from 1 species
GGAAUAUUGGGCAAUGGAGGAAACUCUGACCCAGCGACGCCGCGUGCGGGAUGAAGGCCUUCGGGUUGUAAACCGCUUUCAGUAGGGAAGAAGCGAAAGUGACGGUACCUACAAAAGAAGCACCGGCUAACUAUGUGCCAGCAGCCGCGGUAAUACAUAGGGUGCAAGCGUUGUCCGGAAUUAUUGGGCGUAAAGAGCUCGUAGGUCGUUUGUUACGUCGGAUGUGAAAACCUGAGGCUCAACUUCAGGCCCGCAUUCGAUACGGGCAAACUAGAGUUUGGUAGGGGAGACUGGAAUUCCUGGUGUAGCGGUGGAAUGCGCAGAUAUCAGGAGGAACACCAAUGGCGAAGGCAGGUCUCUGGGCCAAUACUGACACUGAGGAGCGAAAGUCUGGGGAGCGAACAGGAUUAGAUACCCUGGUAGUCCAGACCGUAAACGGUGGGCACUAGUUGUGGGAACCUUCCACGGUUUCUGCGACGCAGCUAACGCAUUAAGUGCCCCGCCUGGGGAGUACGAUCGCAAGAUUAAAACUCAAAUGAAUUGACGGA